rnacentral:misc_RNA from 1 species
GAUGAAGAACGUAGUGAAAUGCGAUACUUGGUGUGAAUUGCAGAAUCCCGUGAACCAUCGAGUCUUUGAACGCAAGUUGCGCCCGAAGCCAUCAGGUUGAGGGCACGUCUGCCUGGGCGUCACAUAUCGUUGCCCAAUGCCUAUUGCAGUGCAAUAGGAAUUUCUAGGGCGAAUGAUGGCUUCCCGUGAGCGUUGUUGCCUCGCGGUUGGUUGAAAAUCGAGUCCUUGGUAGGGUGUGCCAUGGUAGAUGGUGGUCGAGCUAGAACGAUACCGAUCAUGUGCAUGCUCCCCAAAAUAUGGCCUCUAUGACCCACACGCGUCUUUUGACGCUCAUGACGAGACCUCAGGUCAGGCGGGGCUACCCGCUGAAUUUAAGCAUAUCAAUAAGCGGAGGA